rnacentral:misc_RNA from 1 species
UAAGCCCUGCCUAUGCCAGUUCCAGC